rnacentral:misc_RNA from 1 species
AAAAAAAAAAAAAAAGAAAUAAAAGCCCGUGAUAAAAAUAAUAGUAAGUCCAACCUAUCAAAUUGACUCAAAUCAAUAACCAAAUCCAAUUCAUAAAGCAUCCCCAAUCUAAGAAUCUAGGGUUACAGCGAAAAAAGCAACAUUGAUACACCGCCGACGUCCCUUAGCACUUACCUCAACUAGAAUUUUUGAGCCAAUGACCGGAGCCAACAACUUUUGCCAGCAACGCAAGACGUCCAUCAAACGCACAGCAACUCAAUCCACCAUGGUUCUCCCUUCUUCUAGACAGAUACUUCAAGCUUGACUCAACUACGAUAAUCGGGACUGUCGUAGAGUUCUCUAGCAUACCAAGUCAAAUGGGAAGAUCUUCUCAACUGUGGUAGAAAAGUAGAUCUUGGAGUUGCAUUACAGUCGGAGCAAAGAGACUCGCUUAUCACAGCGAGCAGACUCAUCUUUCCAACAGCAAUACAGAUCAAUCGAAACUAUACUAAACCCGUAUAUAGACUAACCUAGCUGGGGGACGGCUGUCCCUCAACCUAGGCCAAAACCAAAAGCAGCAUCUAGAAACCUUCCCGUACUCUAAGGCAAGGGAAUCCGAUAAGAAAACAUGGAAGAUCAGUGAGAUGAGCAGCGAAAUCUCCCUCUCCUAAACAAGAGAGAAGAAAGCUUUAUGGUCCACUCUGUGUAUUUGCACGCUUUAUGUAAUUAAAAUUACAUUUGGCCAACUUUUUCAUAUUUCACUCACUUGUAAAAGGAAGUUUAAUUCUAUAAGAUAUUCG